AGGAGUGGCCAGCAGAAGAUGCACAAAGUAACAAGAGGAGGGGCAAGGUAAACGACGGUCUUCGUCAUUGACUGCAAGGGGAGAGCAGCUUAAUUAUUGAGUACCUCAGAGAGACUGCGGAUUGAAGACCCUCAUUCCUGGUAAUUUUAUUUAUUGCAGGUGACGUUCUGUAUCUAAUGGGAAGGUUAGUUGAAAGGUGGUUGAACGAAUGACUGUAUAUGGUGCAAAGCUUAUUUUCAAAGGUACUUUGUUGUCAUUCUGUUGCAUCUCUAGAGCCUAUGGCUGUUGGCUGCAUUGUGCUAAUUUGCGUAAUUUUCAGAGCUAUACAUCCUUUGUCUAAUUAAGAACUUCUAAAUAAUCAGUUUCUUCUCCAUUCCGUCACUUAU